rnacentral:rRNA from 12 species
ACCUGCGGGAGGAUCAUUG